GAUGUGCAUGUCGAGUAAGUGA
rnacentral:siRNA from 1 species